UCUACUCUAGUGCAGUCACUGAACAUCAAUGUUGUAUUUACACAGACAGACCGAGAAAAAAAGAUACGGUGAUGAUCUUAUCCCCUCCUGUCUUCUUACUCCUGAAUGUUUACAUCGAAUGGCUUACAGUGUCUCUGUCAAACUACAACACAAUCUCUGUGCGCUUCCUUCUGGAUAUUACCGAGGGGCUGGUUUGCAACUGCAGAUGAAGUCUGCUGGAACUGUUGACCAGAAUUUAUUUACCGACACCUACUGUAAGGUAUGCAGUGCUCAACUGAUUUCAGAGUCUCAGAGAGUGGCACAUUAUGAGAGCCGAAAACAUGCCAGCAAGGUUCGACUUUACUACAUGCUUCACCCAAUUGAUGGAGGAUGUCCAGCAAAGAAGCUCAGAUCUGAAAACGGAAGUGAUGAUGGAGAUGUGGACAAGAACAAAUGCUGCACACUCUGUAAUAUGUCAUUUACCUCUGCUGUGGUGGCACAGUCACAUUACCAAGGCAAAAUUCAUGCUAAAAGGUGCAGGCUAUUGCUGGGAGAGGAGGCACCUUUUGGAACAGAACCAAAGCAGAUUUCCUCAAAGCCCAGUCCAAUAACAAACCCAUCACGACAGAGAAGAGAUUCAGACAGGUUCUGCCAACUCUGUAAUGCCUGGUUUAAUAAUCCAAUGAUGGCCCAACAGCACUACGAUGGGAAGAAACACAAGAAGAAUGCAGCACGAGCUGAUUUAUUGGAACAGCUCGGUCAGACCCUAGAUCCUGAAGCACUCAGAGCACUGAAGCGGAGUUACACUUGCAGUUUGUGUCAUGUGAUCCUGAAUUCCAUCGAACAGUACCAUGCUCAUCUACAGGGAUCCAAGCAUCAGACUAACUUGAAAAACCAAUCAUGAGAUCCUUCGAGAGAAAAAUUGUUCAUUGAAUUCAACUUCAAGAUAUUUUGUUGUCCUUCAGGGCAUCCAAAUUUUACUCAAUGCAGAGAUGGUCAUCUUUCUCAAGAAGCAUUGGACACCUUUUUCGACUGGUGUUUUCUUUUUUCCCAAAGUAGAAAUAUCUCAAAGAGAUGUCUAUUACUCUGUGUUUGAAGCAAAUUCCAUUGGUUAUGAGCUCGGCACAAGAAUAAGCAGCUUGUUUUGAAGGAAACUCAUGCCUCUUGAAGCACAGUUUUUCAAACACUGCAGUUUACUACAAUUGUUUAUUGCCCAGAUCAUUCCAGGCUGAUGGAUAAACAAGAAUGCAUUCCAGCCAUUUGGAAGUUUUGACAUUUUUGAUGGGUUGCAUUGAAGGAUUUGCAUUUGUACCACAAAUUCCAUGACAGAAUGUUCUGAAGUACUUCAGUAUUCAUUCAGUAUUUUUGAACUGUGUAAUUUUUGUCAUGUAGCAAAAUGCAAAUUGGGUACAACAAGGUCCCAGAAAUAGCAGUGAGAUCGUAAUUGUGAACAACAGAAUUUGUCUGCUGCUUAAUUUUGAUGUGAAAACAUUUACGUGUGUCUGAGAGAGUAGAUGGAACUUUGUUUAAUGUUUCACCUGAAACUUGCACCUCUGACAGUGCAGCACCAUCUCAAUAUUGUACUACAACCUAGAUCCUGUGCUCAAAUCUCUGGAGAGCAGUUUGAGCCCAGGACCUACUAUUUGAGAGUUGAGAGUACCACAGAGAAACUGGUUCAAUGGAUGGCCAAAUAGUCUUUCCAUUCCUGGAUCCUAGAUUGCAGUCCAGCUCAAUAUGACGAGAUGAAAAUCUCUUCCUCUUUGAUUGAUGGGACCUUAGUCGGCACUGUCAAUACAGUUUCCAGAUUUUUCAAGUGCAAAAAUUAUAAAUUCCAAUUGUUUGAAGGUCAGAGAGAGGAAGCAAUGCACUUUCUGUCCAAAUGCUUUCCAUGAUCUAUUUAAAACAGAUUGUCACUGUUAUGAAGUUCGUAAAACUUGUUGACUAACUUCUCAGGAACAGAUCACUGGGAGGGUGAAGGAACACAUCUGUCACGUGCAAAGUUUUAUAUUGAAGUGCUGAUCACAUUUGUUCUUAUUGCUACCAAGUAUGUUUUUUGUGAGGACUGGUGUGCCUUUUUCAGUUCUGUAACCCAGUGGCAGCACCUUACAUAUCAGAUCAGAUAUGGUCUAGGUUCAUCUUGGUUCUAAACUCAAAUGAGUAAUGUGAGUUGAAGCCAGAUACUUCUUAUCAAUUUCCCUCUUAACAAUUUUGUGCCAGAUUGUAAAUGGGUUUGUGCUGAAGGCUGCAUCCACUCUUAGCUGAGCUGAGACUGCUGAAAGACAUUUCUCAUGGAACCUUUACAAUCAAGUUCUCACUUACCAACCUUGGCAGUAUUCAAUCAGCUUGCAUCACUGCAAUGCAAUUAAGGUAGAUACUGAAGCCUGGACACAUGUGCAUGUGGUCACAAAUCUGAUCUCAUGUUAUAUUAGCUAGCAUGAUGAUGAACUUCAAACAUUUCUAUCUGCAGAUAUUUUCAUACCUACUAUUUAAGGAUUAAUGCCUUUUGAAUGGUCAAAGGGCCUGUAUGGAUACUUUCUGAUGUUCUAGCUUCAAUACUUGGUGUCGCAGUCAAAUGCAGUAAGUCUUUUCACAAUGAGCACCUUUGUUUGCAGAAAACUUAGAAGUGACUUUGUCAAUUUGGAAUACAAUGAGAGUAAUGGAAGUUAAUUAAAGUAUGCUAAUAAAGUUUCAGUGAGAUACAAAAUCUCAGUUAACGAGGAUAAAAGACAAUGUAAAAUACUCUUAAGUACCCCAGUACCAAGCAUGCUAAUUUUUAUUGCUAAAUUUUUUGAUAACUUAUAUAAACGAACACCAUGAAGAAACCCUUUAAUCAUCGUGAUGCAAAAAGCGCCAUGUGCAAAAAAAUGUUCUUCAAAUAUACAUAUUUCAGUUAUCAAGGCAGAAUUGUUAAGCGUUGAUUAACUCUUUGAUAACUAAGAAGUUUAUGUCACUCUGAGGAACCGUGUCAGCAUAAAAUUUCUCAAUCAAGUUGAAUUGAACAUCUCAUGAACCGAAAUAUUUUUAAAACCUCUAAAGUGAUGACUGCACCUGUUGACUUAUUGCCUGGACUGUUGGAACCUUUGACAAAGUUACAAUGAGAAUGUACUGUCAAUGAAAUAGGGGCAAUCGGUCUUGUCAUUCAAAGAUUGCAUUCUGUCAAAUAACUGAGCAGCACCAGUCAGAAUCCAGAGCAAAGUUUACAACACUACCAAAAUGCUUAAGCCGUGAAAAUGUUGAGAAGUUAGAUAAAUUUUGAUUAUAAAACGAACAUGCGAGAAAAGCACAACAGAUCUGGAACUGCCGACAGAGACUCUGCAAAUUAGACAGAAGAGUCGACUUGCCUCUUACCCAAGACCAGUAUUUCCAGUAAUCCAAUCACAAGUCUCCAAAAUGUUUAAUCUUACAAAAUUAGAGUUGGAGAAAGUUGUACAGAAUGACUAACAUAGUUAGAUUUCAGGGUCCAGCAAGAUAUGGAAUACUGAGGAAGCUCUGAAUUAUGUAGUGAAUAUUUUUCAACUUUUGGCCAGUAAUUCAGAAUGGAAGGUCUAUUAGACUAUGUUGAAGUGAUGGCCUCAUCAGUGAACUACUGCAGCCCUCUGUACUGCACAAAUCUCUUGUGUAAACUAUGCUGCUGCUUUUGUUUUACAACUCAUGGAUUAGUUCCCAAUGUUCUCCAGGGGAGAAACCGUUAUGUUCCUGGCCUUGGGUGUGUGACAAAAGGUGACAAGGUACUGUAAAUAAAAUGCAUUUAGUUUUCAUGACAAUCUCUGCAUUUCCUGGUUGCAAUAAACCAUAGCAUUGACCAAAACAAUUGUGUGUCUUUAUUGUGUUAAAAAAAACUGGCAGGCACUUCUAAAAAAAAUGCAAGGUACUAGAAUUGAUGUUUUAUUUUGCAGAAUGGAAAGGACGAUUUAGAUAAAUACAUUGAGGAUUGGAGGAUCUGAUCCAAACAAAGAAACCCGCCAAGUUUUAUUGUCCUUGGAAAACAAUGUGAAGGUCACAUCUUGUAAUAUAGGAAACCACUAGAGCUGAAAAGUAACCCAAGAAAAUCUUCAUCUGAUGAUAAAAAACAGUUGUGUCUGGACUCAACCUGGCAGGAAACAUACAGACAGCAAGUUUUUCCUUGUACCCUGUCCAUGAAUGAUAAUCUCAUCGCGAUAGGGGCCAUCCUCGAUAUUUAGUCAAGUUUGAUCCCUAAUUGGUGAAGGCAAAAUAAAUACUUGCUUGAAAGAGGAAGCAACUUCAUGAAGACACUUUAGAAAGAAAGAAGGUGACUCCAUGCAUUUCAGACCACCUGUAUGUUCCACACCAGUCGCAUACCAUCCUGAUUUGGAAACGUAUCAUCGUUCCUUCAUUGUCACUGGAUUGAAAUCCUGGAACUCAAACUGUGUGCAUGUGUACACCACAUAUACUGAAUUGAGUGAAGAAGCCAGCACACCACCAUGCUCUUAAGGGCAGUUAAGAAUGAAAAGUGAAUCUGGUCCAGUGUGCAACACUCACAUCCCACGAAUGAACAAAAACAAAUCUCUCUGCUAUGCUGAGAAUUCUCAAGCUCAUUGCAAACAAAGUAACUGUUAAGAUGUUUUUAAAAGAUGUUGCUCAAUGUGGGCUAAAAUGCUUUAAUUGGGAUUUUAUUCCUCAUGAUGACUUAACUGUGGCAAAAGAGCCAUCAGAAGUCUAUUCUUCUUGUGGCUCGUUAAAACUCUGGUUCAGUGCUGUAAUUCCAGGUAAAAUGAUCUCAUGUCUACACUCGAUAAAUACUCGGUAUCCAAUUUUUAUUUUAAAUACUGCUCAUUAUUUUCCCUUCCAAUAUCUAUUCACAAGCAUUUGUAAUUCCAUGUUUGCUUUAUUUGCCACGUUUCCAGUUAACCUCCCAUUUAAACCAUGACAGGACAUGUUCCAGCAUCAUAAUAAGUCAUCUCUAGUUUUCAACCUUUACAAUUCCCUAUUGUAAAUUGGCAUAAAUUAUGAGGCUUUGGAAUAAUUAAUUGAUCAAGUCUUGGUUUGAAAGAGACCACCAUUGU